GGCAAUUUAAGGCGAUUUCAGGCGAUUUAAGAUUUUAAUGCGAGUUUAGAUGCCAGAGUAGGCCUGAAAUUGGCCUGUAAUUCUCUGUGUAUUCUUUGUCACAUUUCUUAUAAACGGGAACAACGUUCGCUAGUUUCCAAUCUUCUGGCACAGUUCCUUGUUGCAAUGAUUGUUGAAUAGCUCGCAGAUGGAGGGAGUGAUUAUUGAGGGGGUUUCUUUCAGAAGUCUGGCUGGGAUUUCGUCCAGUCCGGUUUCUUUGUUAGUAUAAAAGGAGUUAAGUAACGUUUCUACAUCUAACUCAGUUUGAGUUCAGUUAAAACUGGAUCUGUCCUGUUGAGAUGUUGAACAGGAAUGUUUUUAGAUGUAAAUACGGGGGCAAAGUAGGUAUUGAAGAAGUCAGCUAUUUCGUUUGGAUUUGUAGCAAUAUAUACAAGUUUGUAGCAAUAUAUAUAGUUACAGAUAUACUCUCUUACGUCCAUAUUCUUUGAUCGGCGACUUGUUGUCAGUUUCUCUGCGUCAAUGGCAAAUUUCUUCUUUUUCUUGGUAUGAUGGGUAUUCAUCUAAAUAAAAAAUUGAAUUCUUUUGUAUAGAAAAAUGUUC